rnacentral:rRNA from 1 species
UACGUAGGGUCCAAGCGUUGUCCGGAUUUAUUGGGCGUAAAGAGCUCGUAGGCGGUUCGGUAAGUCGGAUGUGAAAACUCGGGGCUCAACCCCGAGACGCCAUCCGAUACUGCUGUGACUUGAGUCUGGUAGGGGAACACGGAAUUCCUGGUGUAGCGGUGAAAUGCGCAGAUAUCAGGAGGAACACCGAUGGCGAAGGCAGUGUUCUGGGCCAGUACUGACGCUGAGGAGCGAAAGCGUGGGUAGCAAACGGG